AUUGAACGCUGGCGGCAGGCCUAACACAUGCAAGUCGAGCGGAUGAAGGGAGCUUGCUCCUGGAUUCAGCGGCGGACGGGUGAGUAAUGCCUAGGAAUCUGCCUGGUAGUGGGGGAUAACGUCCGGAAACGGGCGCUAAUACCGCAUACGUCCUGAGGGAGAAAGUGGGGGAUCUUCGGACCUCACGCUAUCAGAUGAGCCUAGGUCGGAUUAGCUAGUUGGUGGGGUAAAGGCCUACCAAGGCGACGAUCCGUAACUGGUCUGAGAGGAUGAUCAGUCACACUGGAACUGAGACACGGUCCAGACUCCUACGGGAGGCAGCAGUGGGGAAUAUGGGACAAUGGGCGAAAGCCUGAUCCAGCCAUGCCGCGUGUGUGAAGAAGGUCUGCGGAUUGUAAAGCACUUUAAGUUGGGAGGAAGGGCAGUAAGUUAAUACCUUGCUGUUUUGACGUUACCAACAGAAUAAGCACCGGCUAACUUCGG
rnacentral:rRNA from 1 species